UCUGAUGAGUUUGGCUUUUUACUGCCCGCAUAUUUUGUGGGUAAAGGAUGGAUUGAUGGGAUGAAUAAAGAGCAAGCCAUAAAGGGCCUGACCCUCACAUAUCCUGAUCCCAGGGAUCGAUGGAUCGUUGAUCUGGUGGCGAACGAGUACCUGGGCGACACAAGAGAUCCCAUUCAAGUCCGAGACAUUUACAGAGAGAUGAUGGGCGACGUGAUGUUCAACAUCCCUGCCCUCCAACUGGCAAAAUACCACAGCGGUGAGAC